CAAAAAAUAGUUUAAUUAAGAAUAUUAAUUUUGGAUAUUAGGGGUGUAAACAUUAUUUUUUUGA
rnacentral:tRNA from 1 species